GAAUGGAAGAAGAAGGCGGUCUGUCUGAGGGAGCCAGGCCGCAGAGCCAUCCGCCUUCUGUCCAUGUC
ensembl:miRNA